CAAGUGUCUCAGUGUCCCCAUGUCUCUCAGUGUCCCUUAGUGACAUGGGGACACUAUGAGACAUGGGGACAUUGGGUGACAUGGGGAACUGAGACACUG